rnacentral:lncRNA from 1 species
UAUGGCACAUCACUCACUGGAUCCAGAUGGGCAACAUUCCGCUUCAAGAUUAAAGAGUACAAUUUUUGCAUGCUAUCAUUGCUUAUCCAAGAGUAAUCUACCAUGUGCCUAAUAUAUAUACAUGAUUGUUGCACCAUCACAAGAUUUCCAUUAUAUAAAUGGGCAUAACUUUCUUUACUGUGAAUUAAUCAACGUGAUGCUUCUGUUUUAAGGAAUGGCAAUGCUAAAUUCUACAGUGGUACUCUCUACUCUGUCGAAUGUUUACAAACACCAGAAAGCUAGAGAUCUAUUGUGGAAAACUUUCUUUCUUUUGUUUGUUAUAACUUCUUAGUGUAAAAAUAAAUAUGGCUUGUCCAUUACGAAACAAAUAUGUAAGAUUUAUUACUUUUCAAAGUUGAAUUGUUCCUGACAAUUACAUAUGAGAGUGCAUAUAAUUGAGUUGUGCUGACUUGCUGUUUCUAAAAUGAUAAGCUGGAGCUGGAGUUACAUAUGAGAGUAGAGAUAAUUAAGUUGUGCUCCUGACUUGAUUAACAAAAGCUGCAGAAGAAAGGGACAAAAUACCAGAAAGCUGAAAAUUCAAAGAAAGGUGGAAGUAGGGAACUACACAACUUGAUUCAAGGUUACAAAGGGACAAAGGGCAUUGAUUGAGCAGGAGAAAACAAUAAUGGGCCAAGGCAAGGAUAUAGUGCUCAAUUAGUAAAGAGAUAUGUGGGAAGUGGGGCAGCGGGAUGCAAAUGGAAUUUUUGUGACUCACUGAAGGUGAGCAAAACUUCAGAAAAGAAAUUGCAACCGAAGUAGAGCCUCAUCACCAAGAGAACAUAGGGAUUUUAAGUUUUUUGUAGCCUGCACCGGAGACUGUAGAGUUAAGUUUCUACAUCUCAGCGUACAGUUUAACUAUAUCAGGUUAUUUACUAUGUAGUAAAUAUUUUCUUUUGCCAUUGCUGAUCAUGUCCUUCUCUCUGUGCUUGGAAGCAUAAACUUACUUAGUGAUCCUUUUCUAUUAGGCUAAACUUACAUCCUUCUGCUAAUAGUUUAGUGAUAUAAAGAUUCUAAUGAUUAUUCAGAAGGGACAUUGCAUGUUCCUAGAUGCAUAGCCUUUCUUAUAUAUGUUUUCGUAACACUGGAAUUUUUUAGGGAUAACACUGGGAUUUUAGUUUUUUUGUUGAAUUCUGAAAUUGAAAUCCGAAUAAACCAUAUCUUGAAAGGCCAGCAUAAUGGCACUUCAAAUAAAUGCUAAUCUACACUCACACUGCAGGCUGGUGCCCGUUCUUCUGGUGAUUUGGUCAAAGCUACUACUAAGCAAAGAUAUUUUGCAUGCUAUAAGAACCAAGUUAUGGCUUUUGUGUUCCGAGAUAAUAACUAACAAAAAAAUAGGGAAUAAUUAUUUAUAAUACGGUUUACUGAAGAUGCAUUAACUGUAGGUCCUUUGGCAUGCUAACCAUUUUUUGUAGUACUAAAUAUUGUUUCACAAAACCUGUCAUUUCCUUCAUCAUCGAUAAAAGCAUCAACACUUGUGUCACGACCGAAUUUUUUGACCCGGUGAACGACUAAUUCAUUACAACUGAUGUUUGCUCAAUAGGAGAGCGGGACAUUGUGGGCAUUAAUUGUGUGUCAAAGCCUCAAGGGAAGGGAGGACCAAGGAGAAGCCAAGCCGAGAAGGAGAUAACAUUCGGGCCUAGGCCACUCUUACUAGGUGGUGCCCGAGCCCGGCCUAUGGAGGCACGCGGGACAGCGGGAGUUUGAGGGACUAGGCCACUGGGCCUCGAGUUGCACACAUACAUACAGGACCCGCCCUUCCAACAUGAAACAAGUCCACAACAAUAUAAGUCAAAAUCGAGUGGGAGUAUGAGGGAUUACGUAUGGAUCAGAUGCACGGUAUAACUAUUUAUUGAACGGUCUCAUAUGGUGAAAAUUGAGGGUUCUUGUAUACAUGGCGCGGUC